GUUGGAUAGUGCUAAUUAAGCAAUUUUUGGAUAGUGCUAAUUAAUCAAAUAAAAGAUUAUAUGCUUAUGAGUCUUAGGUGCCACCACAAGGUAAAUUAGGAUUCUUUGCUUACAUUAAUAAAAACAACUUUGAUUAUGAUGCUCUUCUUUUAGGAAACUGCCUUUACUAGGGAAAGAUGAACUACAACAAAGGAAGUGCUAUGAAAUUAGCAUGAGAUUGUUCUCAUGAAAAUUCUGGAGGGGAUGAAUCCAUCUACUAUUGGGGAUUGCAUGGCAUUGCUCGCUCGCUGUAUAUUUACCUUAUGGCAAAAAAGACUAGCUGCUAGAGCUUGGUACUACAUAAUAUAUUGCUAACACACUGCAACUACAUUUUUUUCACUUCUAACCACUUAGUUUUAGGAUCUUAACUUAACCUUUUAUCAAAUGCAACAUCAUUUUUUGUGGCCAUCUCCCUAAUCAAUUUCCACAAUAUUACUAUGCAUAUAUGUACUAAGAAUAAUAUCAUAAGCAUUAUUAAGUGUAUCUUGAGCACUUCUCUGCUUCGAUUUUUGUUAGUAUUUACAAUAACUACUAUUCAUUUUCUCAUGCGAGUAUACAUCAGUGAUGCUUACUUUUGUCUACCAUAUGAAGCUUUGAUAGAAAAACAAAUUAGUUGUUUCUUUCUAAUCUAAAAAAACAAAUUAGUUGUUUCUUUCUGGCUAUUGUAUGAAACUGUCAACUGAAUCUCUAACACUCGCUACUCUAUUCAGUAGGGGUGAUGGAUCUGUUAUCCGACAGCGUGGACAAGAUCGACAUCUUAUGUCGCUAUUCACAUGGUUGCAGAUCCCAUGACUAUACCCACUGUCUUCUUUGGUGGGUAUCCGGGUAUCAACUGAUGCUGCUGCUUGGGAUCCGAUGAGAAGGAGCCGGCGAGGUGUGCCGAUUGAAAAGUGAUCUCGCUUGCCUUCUCCUCAGACCAGUGCUCUGCUCCUGCGGAUGGACCUGGAGCUGUUGUACGUGGACCUGGAGUUACUUGCCGGACCUGGAGAUGCCGGCCGGCGAGAUGAGUGGGAUCAAUCAGGUGAUGCUAGUGAAGAGGAUAAGAUCAGAGGUGUGAGUUGAAUAAACUGUAGCACCCGUGACUACCAAAACUAGUCACGUGAUUGGUUUGGGACCUUUCUGACUAUGGGCAGUGCUGCUGCCAAAAAAUAAUGGGUGCCAACUGUGCAAAAGUGCUUGUAUGAACAAAGCAGAUGUACUGCUCAUCUUCUCAUACCUAUAGGUACUGCUCAUCUUCUCCUACAUAUGGUGAUGUUGCUUAUCCUCUCAAAGAACUGCACUAGGGAUCUAGCAGUGUUGAUCAUAAUUAGCAUCAAAUGGUAUAGGGAGUCGGCACAAUCAGCUGCAUGGCUUUCCUCGGUAACGAACUGCAUAAAUGUAGAUUAAUGUCAAAUUAUUUGACUAGUUUUGAUGGAAUGUGUGUUCGAAAUACAAGUGUAAUCUAUGACUACAUAAUUGUGAGAUACAAAGUGGGACUGUAUGUUUGAAAUA